rnacentral:rRNA from 1 species
GACGAACGCUGGCGGCGUGCCUAAUACAUGCAAGUCGAGCGAAGUUUUUCUGGUGCUUGCACCGGAAAAACUUAGCGGCGAACGGGUGAGUAACACGUAAAGAACCUGCCUCAUAGACUGGGACAACUAUUGGAAACGAUAGCUAAUACCGGAUAAUAGCAUUAACUGCAUGGUUGAUGUUUAAAAGUUGGUUUUGCUAACACUAUGAGAUGGCUUUGCGGUGCAUUAGCUAGUUGGUGGGGUAAAGGCCUACCAAGGCGACGAUGCAUAGCCGACCUGAGAUGGGGAUCUGCCACACUGGGACUGAGACACGGCCCAGACUCCUACGGGAGGCAGCGGUAGGGAAGCUUCCGCAAUGGGCGAAAGCCUGACGGAGCAACGCCGCGUGAGUGAAGAAGGAUUUCGGUUCGUAAAGCUCUGUUGUUAGGGAAGAAUGAUUGUGUAGAAACUAUACACAGUAGAGACGGUACCUAACCAGAAAGCCACGGCUAACUACGUG